UCUUAGGUGGCCGAAACAAAAUAAGCGAUAAACUUUUAAUUUAUUUAUGGUAAUUUUUACCCCUGAGGA
rnacentral:tRNA from 1 species